GAUAAACGCUGGCGGCGCACAUAAGACAUGCAAGUCGAACGGACUUAAUCCAUUCUUUUAGAUUGGAAGCGGUUAGUGGCGGACUGGUGAGUAACGCGUGAGCAACCUGCCUAUUAGAGGGGAAUAACAGUGAGAAAUCAUUGCUAAUACCGCAUAUGCUCACAGCACCACAUGGUGCAGUGAGGAAAGGAGCAAUCCGCUAAUAGAUGGGCUCGCGUCUGAUUAGCUAGUUGGUGGGGUAACGGCCUACCAAGGCGACGAUCAGUAGCCGGACUGAGAGGUUGAACGGCCACAUUGGGACUGAGAUACGGCCCAG
rnacentral:rRNA from 1 species